rnacentral:lncRNA from 1 species
AAAGACCCUGAGAUCAGGAAAGGUGAAGGGUCUAGGGAGGUAGAGAGUGGGAAAAUCAGCCCUUGAGCUCAGGCCUUUGGGAGUAUUUUUUGUCUCCCGCCAGUUCACCCGCUCUGGAGAACCAACGAUCUGGACAACUCUCUGGGUAACGGCAUGCCAGGAGGAGGACACCUUGAUGCAACUGACCCAACUCGAGGCUCUUGAUGAAAAGUCAUCUUACGACUGGAUGUCCCCCCUUCGUGAUAGAAGCCACUCUUGUCUCCUGUGGAAGAAAAUGAGAUGUGCAGUCGAAGGACUUCCAUUCUCAGACUGGCCUGUUGAACCUUCUCAGGUGACAGAGAGGGAAACUGAGCCACAGAAAGGCAAAGCGGCUUGCCUGGAGCGACUUGAUUAAGGUGGAAGGAUCUGGGUGUCUGAAUAGUGGCCAGACUCACGACCAAACCUUUGGGUGACAAAAAGAUUGUCCAGAAAAUCGGGCCAGUCCACAUGUAAAAUUGGCCUGUUUUUUUAAAGCAGUGUAUUAUUAUGGGAUUGUUAAGGUGAAGAAGGGUAAUGAGGCCCAAAGUCCAUCAAUAUGGGGCUCUCUCCUCACUAGUACGAGUCAGUGCCCCUGCCCCGUGCAAGCCGGGCAGCAGCAUUGGUGUGCUGGAGAAAGAGGCUGCUUUCUUCAGAUCUCUUCAGCCUCUUGACUAUUUUUGAGUCUCUUCAGCCUCUUUGAGUGUUUCUGGCUUCCAGCUUCAAGAGAAAAGAUGGAUGAUGCCAACCCCACUUCGGAUUGCUAACAAGAAAACAGGACUCUGCAAAAAGCUUCCAGGAGAGGAAUUAGUGGUCUCUAGUAUGUCCUUUGCCCCAGCUUACCACCCUAGAAACUUUGAGGAAUUUCCCUUUGAGUAAGAUGGAGGGCUGACAUUCUUUUCUCUGUCUCGAUCUCUUUCUCCUUGUUCCUUUCCCUCUGUAUUGUGUGAUAUGUAUUUUCCUGCGUAUACUUCUCUUUGAUUUCCAUUAAAAAGUUUUUUCACCUUAAUUUCCCCCUUUAUUAAUUUUUAGAGUUGAUUUUUAUUUUAAUAACAAAUUUCCACAUGAGUUCUCUGAAGUUAUAUGAACCGUAUUGUCUCCCUCUCUUCUUCCCUCCCCACUUCCAGAGCUGAUUUACAUUUUAUUGUGGACUUGAAUAAAUAGAGUUCUU